rnacentral:rRNA from 1 species
AUGGAUGUAGAGGCUUUCGAUCACACUUAUGUUGGUUUGGAUGCUUUAAUGGUGAGUGGAGCACCUUUCGCCGAGAGGAGGGAUGGUCUGGGUUUUGAAGACCGCAUGGCCUGCUUAGUUCCUGUACCAGAGAAGCAGAGAGGGGUCGGGAGACCGACAAACUGCAGGGAGAAGGCACCGUAUGAGGGGCUGAGCAAGCGUACAAGAUUCUGCAACAUAUGUAGUCGAGAGGGCGAUAAGCGGACUAUGUGUCCUGAAAGAGGGGAUGCACCCAAAAAACCGCGGAGGCCUAGGAAGUGCGAGAAUUGUGGCAUGGAAGGACAUCGUCGGACCACUUGCACUAGGCGGAUGGGUGUUGCUGAAACAUGA